rnacentral:rRNA from 1 species
UGGGGAAUAUUGCACAAUGGGCGAAAGCCUGAUGCAGCAACGCCGCGUGAGUGAUGAAGGUCUUCGGAUUGUAAAGCUCUGUCUUUUGGGACGAUAAUGACGGUACCAAAGGAGGAAGCCACGGCUAACUACGUGCCAGCGGCCGCGGUAAUACGUAGGCGGCGAGCGUUGUCCGGAUUUACUGGGCGUAAAGGGUGCGUAGGCGGAUGUUUAAGUGAGAUGUGAAAUACCCGGGCUUAACUUGGGUGCUGCAUUUCAAACUGGAUAUCUAGAGUGCAGGAGAGGAGAAUGGAAUUCCUAGUGUAGCGGUGAAAUGCGUAGAGAUUAGGAAGAACACCAGUGGCGAAGGCGAUUCUCUGGACUGUAACUGACGCUGAGGCACGAAAGCGUGGGUAGCAAACAGGAUUAGAUACCCUGGUAGUCCACGCCGUAAACGAUGAGUACUAGGUGUAGGAGGUAUCGACCCCCUCUGUGCCGCA